GGGUUUUUUCAAUGGGAUUUCAGUUAAAUCGCUUAAAUAAGGGGAUACUCUUCCCGAGGCCCUCAGACUAUGCAGAGUCACUGAUUCGAUCCAAGACUAACGACGAGAUGAUUCCAAGGUUUCCAUAUCCUGGACCAGGCCGUUUCCUGAGCAGUUACUGUGGUGGUCAUGGAGGAGUGGAGAGCAUGAGACUGAUUCCUGUGACGCUCCAGGGACAGACGAGUCUUCGCUGAGGCCAGCUUCCUGCCUCCACCGCUGAGACUGCAGCUCUGCACAAGACGUUUGGCCAGAGGAGAAAUUAAAAUGGUCAUGCCCAACUGAGUCUGGUUUCUCUCAAGGUUUUUUUUCUUCUUCACUUUCGCCAAUUGGUGAAGUUUUUUUCCGUCUUCGCUGUCGCCACUGGCUUGAAUGGUUCGGGAUUGGUAGAGCUACGCAUCGUUGAAUUUGCUCUUCACUGUUUGGACUCUCAGUAGUGAUUUUUAAACCACACUGAACUGAGCUAAACUGAACUGAACUUAAACACUACAAACUGAACUAAACUUUUCCAAUUUACUAUGAUCUUCUAUGUGAAGCUGCUUUGACACAAUCUACAUUGUAAAAGCGCUAUACAAAUAAAGGUAUAUUGAAUUGAAUUGAAUGUACAAAUAAAGUUUUCUGGAAACCUUUCUCAUAAGGAUCAUUCUUUUUUUCACUUGUUUUUUCUAUAGUAAGGGAGAUAACUGUAUUUCCCCUCUAAUUUUGUUAGGUUCGUUUAGUUUCAACUUGGGUUUAUUUGGUAGCUAUAUUUGUUUGCUAUUUUUAGUGGCUCCUCUCUGAGAUAUCGGCUUCUAUGUAAGACAAGAAAAGAAAAAAGAAGACAAGAAGAGUUUCCAGAAAUCUUUAUUUGUUUAUAUAGUUAAUUUAUGUUACUUCAUGGACCCCCAAAGCAGGGAUGUAAGAAUGUCUAUUAUUUCUUAUACAAUAUAUUGUUCCUAACUAUACAAAAUUGCUAAACCGUAGAGUUUAAUCUUAACAUCAAAAGUGAGUGCAGCAGAGAUUGAGGUAUUAUAACACAAUUUAAAUGCACGUAAAAAAACGAAACAUCUGAAAUUGUUAUAUUUUUGCACUGUGUUUAGCUGCCAGCAUUUACUGAGCAGAGUCUUAAAGUUUCUUAGCUUUUUUUUAUUUUUUAAAGAUGUCUUACAGCUGAUGUUCAUACAUGGGACAAAAGUUUGAUAUUACAUACAAUAUGAGGCAGUGAGAAUUGAGAUAUUUAAAAGCAAUCCCCCAAAAUUCCCCCA